AGUGGGGAAUAUUGGACAAUGGGGGAAACCCUGAUCCAGCCAUGCCGCGUGAGUGAAGAAGGCCCUAGGGUUGUAAAGCUCUUUCGACGGGGACGAUGAUGACGGUACCCGUAGAAGAAGCCCCGGCUAACUUCGUGCCAGCAGCCGCGGUAAUACGAAGGGGGCAAGCGUUGUUCGGAUUUACUGGGCGUAAAGGGCGCGUAGGCGGAUUUGCAAGUCAGAGGUGAAAGCCCUGGGCUCAACCCGGGAAUGGCCUUUGAGACUGCAAGUCUUGAGUGCGAGAGAGGGUGGCGGAAUACCCAGUGUAGAGGUGAAAUUCGUAGAUAUUGGGUAGAACACCGGUGGCGAAGGCGGCCACCUGGCUCGCAACUGACGCUGAGGCGCGAAAGCGUGGGGAGCAAA
rnacentral:rRNA from 1 species